rnacentral:rRNA from 1 species
UACGUAGGGUGCAAGCGUUAAUCGGAAUUACUGGGCGUAAAGCGUGCGCAGGCGGCUGUGUAAGACAGAUGUGAAAUCCCCGGGCUCAACCUGGGAACUGCAUUUGUGACUGCACAGCUGGAGUGCGGCAGAGGGGGAUGGAAUUCCGCGUGUAGCAGUGAAAUGCGUAGAUAUGCGGAGGAACACCGAUGGCGAAGGCAAUCCCCUGGGCCUGCACUGACGCUCAUGCACGAAAGCGUGGGGAGCAAACAGG